UACGAGGGGGGGCAAGCGUUGUUCGGAAUUAUUGGGCGUAAAGGGUGCGUAGGCGGUUUGGUAAGUCUGAUGUGAAAUCUAUGGGCUCAACUCAUAGUCUGCAUCGGAAACUGCCGGGCUUGAGUAUGGGAGAGGUGAGUGGAAUUCCUGGUGUAGCGGUGAAAUGCGUAGAUAUCAGGAGGAACACCUGUGGCGAAAGCGGCUCACUGGACCAUAACUGACGCUGAUGCACGAAAGCUAGGGGAGCAAACAGG
rnacentral:rRNA from 1 species